rnacentral:rRNA from 2 species
CUUGCUCCCUGAAGUCAGCGGCGGACGGGGGAGUAACACGUGGGCAACCUGCCUGUAAGACUGGGAUAACUCCGGGAAACCGGGGCUAAUACCGGAUAAUUCUUUCCCUCACAUGAGGGAAAGCUGAAAGAUGGUUUCGGCUAUCACUUACAGAUGGGCCCGCGGCGCAUUAGCUAGUUGGUGAGGUAACGGCUCACCAAGGCAACGAUGCGUAGCCGACCUGAGAGGGUGAUCGGCCACACUGGGACUGAGACACGGCCCAGACUCCUACGGGAGGCAGCAGUAGGGAAUCUUCCGCAAUGGACGAAAGUCUGACGGAGCAACGCCGCGUGAGUGAUGAAGGUUUUCGGAUCGUAAAACUCUGUUGUUAGGGAAGAACAAGUACCGGAGUAACUGCCGGUACCUUGACGGUACCUAACCAGAAAGCCACGGCUAACUACGUGCCAGCAGCCGCGGUAAUACGUAGGUGGCAAGCGUUGUCCGGAAUUAUUGGGCGUAAAGCGCGCGCAGGCGGUUCCUUAAGUCUGAUGUGAAAGCCCCCGGCUCAACCGGGGAGGGUCAUUGGAAAACUGGGGAACUUGAGUGCAGAAGAGAAGAGUGGAA